rnacentral:rRNA from 1 species
GUUAAGCGACUAAGCGUACACGGUGGAUGCCCUGGCAGUCAGAGGCGAUGAAGGACGUGCUAAUCUGCGAUAAGCGUCGGUAAGGUGAUAUGAACCGUUAUAACCGGCGAUUUCCGAAUGGGGAAACCCAGUGUGUUUCGACACACUAUCAUUAACUGAAUCCAUAGGUUAAUGAGGCGAACCGGGGGAACUGAAACAUCUAAGUACCCCGAGGAAAAGAAAUCAACCGAGAUUCCCCCAGUAGCGGCGAGCGAACGGGGAGCAGCCCAGAGCCUGAAUCAGUGUGUGUGUUAGUGGAAGCGUCUGGAAAGGCGCGCGAUACAGGGUGACAGCCCCGUACACAAAAAUGCACAUGCUGUGAGCUCGAUGAGUAGGGCGGGACACGUGGUAUCCUGUCUGAAUAUGGGGGGACCAUCCUCCAAGGCUAAAUACUCCUGACUGACCGAUAGUGAACCAGUACCGUGAGGGAAAGGCGAAAAGAACCCCGGCGAGGGGAGUGAAAAAGAACCUGAAACCGUGUACGUACAAGCAGUGGGAGCACGCUUAGGCGUGUGACUGCGUACCUUUUGUAUAAUGGGUCAGCGACUUAUAUUCUGUAGCAAGGUUAACCGAAUAGGGGAGCCGAAGGGAAACCGAGUCUUAACUGGGCGUUAAGUUGCAGGGUAUAGACCCGAAACCCGGUGAUCUAGCCAUGGGCAGGUUGAAGGUUGGGUAACACUAACUGGAGGACCGAACCGACUAAUGUUGAAAAAUUAGCGGAUGACUUGUGGCUGGGGGUGAAAGGCCAAUCAAACCGGGAGAUAGCUGGUUCUCCCCGAAAGCUAUUUAGGUAGCGCCUCGUGAAUUCAUCUCCGGGGGUAGAGCACUGUUUCGGCAAGGGGGUCAUCCCGACUUACCAACCCGAUGCAAACUGCGAAUACCGGAGAAUGUUAUCACGGGAGACACACGGCGGGUGCUAACGUCCGUCGUGAAGAGGGAAACAACCCAGACCGCCAGCUAAGGUCCCAAAGUCAUGGUUAAGUGGGAAACGAUGUGGGAAGGCCCAGACAGCCAGGAUGUUGGCUUAGAAGCAGCCAUCAUUUAAAGAAAGCGUAAUAGCUCACUGGUCGAGUCGGCCUGCGCGGAAGAUGUAACGGGGCUAAACCAUGCACCGAAGCUGCGGCAGCGACGCUGAUGCGUUGUUGGGUAGGGGAGCGUUCUGUAAGCCUGCGAAGGUGUGCUGUGAGGCAUGCUGGAGGUAUCAGAAGUGCGAAUGCUGACAUAAGUAACGAUAAAGCGGGUGAAAAGCCCGCUCGCCGGAAGACCAAGGGUUCCUGUCCAACGUUAAUCGGGGCAGGGUGAGUCGACCCCUAAGGCGAGGCCGAAAGGCGUAGUCGAUGGGAAACAGGUUAAUAUUCCUGUACUUGGUGUUACUGCGAAGGGGGGACGGAGAAGGCUAUGUUGGCCGGGCGACGGUUGUCCCGGUUUAAGCGUGUAGGCUGGUUUUCCAGGCAAAUCCGGAAAAUCAAGGCUGAGGCGUGAUGACGAGGCACUACGGUGCUGAAGCAACAAAUGCCCUGCUUCCAGGAAAAGCCUCUAAGCAUCAGGUAACAUCAAAUCGUACCCCAAACCGACACAGGUGGUCAGGUAGAGAAUACCAAGGCGCUUGAGAGAACUCGGGUGAAGGAACUAGGCAAAAUGGUGCCGUAACUUCGGGAGAAGGCACGCUGAUAUGUAGGUGAAGUCCCUUGCGGAUGGAGCUGAAAUCAGUCGAAGAUACCAGCUGGCUGCAACUGUUUAUUAAAAACACAGCACUGUGCAAACACGAAAGUGGACGUAUACGGUGUGACGCCUGCCCGGUGCCGGAAGGUUAAUUGAUGGGGUCAGCGCAAGCGAAGCUCUUGAUCGAAGCCCCGGUAAACG